CUUGAUUAGAUUGAAAUUGUAUUUAAAUAUGCGUUUUUACGUUUUAAACAAAAUGAAAAAGGUACAGAAAAAAAUAAAAUAAAAAAUAAAUAAAUAAAAUAAUAACCUAUAAUUACAGGCAUGAAACGAAACGUUCAAUGACAGGGAUUGACACGUAGUAAUCGGCCAAAAUAAACAAUCGUAACGGCCAUCUUGUAAAUCGCGUCAACUCACUGACUCGAGAUAUCUCAAUCAGUACAAAGCAAUUUACAUACGAGUCCGCCAUGCAGUACCGAUCGGAUCAAUCACAAUUCAAUAAGCCUUAAUAAUGUACUGUACAACAAAAAUCAAAUUACACUUACAUCGUGCACAAAAUUUUCCUGGCUUUGCUGGCAAUGUAAAAUAUAUUCUUUCAAUUUUAAUUUAUAUUUGAGAAAACUUUGUGUAUUCCUAAUUGGUGGGGGUAUGUUGUUCCAGCACCUGGAGGCAGCAUAGCGGAAGCUGCCCCUGAAAGAGGCUGUCUUGUGCUUUUGUACUACAAGUUGUAUGGAACAUUGUCGCGAUUCACAAGUCCUAUGGCUUGACAUCCAAAUGAGCUUUUCAUACAAAUAUGACGGCUCCUUACGCCUUAAAAGAUCGAAAAGAAGACAAGCUAAGUGAAAUUUGCGACGGUGUUUCAUUUUUAAAAUUGAGUGUACAUUUAAGUAAGGAGUAACGUGUUCUCUAAAGGGAAUAUCGAAGCAGAAGCGAGCACAGGCAUUCUGGAUUCUCUGUACAAGUCUCUGUGUUUUGGCGGUCAAACGAGGUCCAUAUACAAUAUCUGUGUAAUUCAACUUGGACAAUAUCAGUGACUCAGUAAGGCGAAUACGUAAAUCUACUCCCAGCCUUAAUAUUUGAGAUUUUGUGCCACAAAUCAUAUAUUUGGAUUUAUUUGGAUUUAAAACUAAGCUAUUCCUCUUGGACCAUAGCACAAUCCGAUUCAGAUCUUCAUUUAGUCUAUCAAUUGCAAUGUCAAUAUCAGAUGGUUUGCAAGAGAUAUAUAUUUGGGUGUCAUCAGCAUAAAAAUGAUAUCUACAGUGCAUUAUAUGAUCUUUCAUGUCUGCUGAGUACAAUAAAAAUAAUAUGGGUCCCAAAAUAGAGCCCUGCGGCACACCUUUGGAUAUUGCCAUUCUAUCUGAGAUGAGCGAGGAACCAUCAUGCUUAGUUAUUUUGACAUACUGAUAGCGUUCACUGAGAUAACUAUGAAACCAUUGUAUGGCAUUACUGUCAAAACCGUAAUAGCUCAAUUUGGACAGGAGGAGAUUUAUAUUCAAGGAAUCGAAAGCCCGUGAGAAGUCAAGCAAUACGAGGAGAGUGCACAUGCCCUGAUCCUGUGAUUGUAAAAUAUUGUCAGUCACAUCAAGCAGUGCUGUGACAGUACUGCGACCCCUUCUAAAACCUGACUGGACCUCUGUGCCGGCUUACUGUAGCUACAAAGUUAUCGUGGUUUGUGCCAAGGGAGCCUGCAUUAAACAGCCCAACCCUAAGAAGUUUGUUCGCCAUUUUUCAAUAAUAUUAAUGUAAUAAUUUUGUAUAAUAUUUGUCUAUGUAUAUAAGUGAUAAUAGUGUGCAUAACUGAUGUAAAUAUGUAGAUAAGAACACGGUUAUUAAGAAAUUGUAAAUAAAUAUAAUUAAAAUUACUGAAAUAUAAAUAUGUAGUAUAUAAACCUGUAGUAUUAAUACCAAGAAACUUUAAAUAAAUAUAGCUAAAAUUAUUGAAAUGUA
rnacentral:misc_RNA from 1 species